rnacentral:sRNA from 1 species
AGACCCAAGAAGCCACCGCCUCCAUCCGCUCCUGUCAUCAAACAAGGGGCAGGCACCACUGAGAGAAAACAUGAAAUUAAAAAGAUACCUCCUGAAAGACCAGAAAUGCUUCCAAACAGAACAGAAGAAAAAGAAAGACCAGAGAGAGAGCCAAAACUGGAUUUACAGAAGCCCUCCGUUCCUGCCAUACCGCCAAAAAAGCCUCGGCCACCUAAGACCAAUUCUCUCAGCAGACCUGGCGCACUGCCCCCG